UACGAAGGGGGCUAGCGUUGCUCGGAAUCACUGGGCGUAAAGCGCACGUAGGCGGCUUUCUAAGUCAGGGUGAAAUCCUGGAGCUCAACUCCAGAACUGCCUUUGAUACUGGAGAGCUUGAGUCCGGAAGAGGUGAGUGGAACUCCGAGUGUAGAGGUGAAAUUCGUAGAUAUUAGGAAGAACACCGGUGCGAAGGCGGCCACUGGUCCGGUACUGACGCU
rnacentral:rRNA from 1 species